CAAUAGCGUAUGUUAAAGUUGUUGCAGUUAAAAAGCUCGUAGUUGGAUUUGUGGCGUACGGUGUGUUCCGGGCACUUGUUGUCUGAGUAACCUGCUGUUGCCAUCCUUGGGUGGAACCUGUGUGGCAUUAGGUUGUCGUGCAGGGGAUGCCCAUCAUUUACUGUGAAAAAAUUAGAGUGUUCAAAGCAGGCUUAUGCCGUUGAAUAUAUUAGCAUGGAAUAAUGAGAUAGGACUUUUUUGCUAUUUUGUUGGUUUGCGCAAGAAGGUAAUGAUUAAUAGGGACAGUUGGGGGUAUUCGUAUUCCAUUGUCAGAGGUGAAAUUCUUGGAUUUUUGGAAGACGAACUACUGCGAAAGCAUUUACCAAGGAUGUUUUCAUUAA
rnacentral:rRNA from 1 species